rnacentral:rRNA from 1 species
GACGAACGCUGGCGGCGUGCUUAACACAUGCAAGUCGAACGGAAAGGCCCCAGCUUGCUGGAGUGCUCGAGUGGCGAACGGGUGAGUAACACGUGGGUGAUCUGCCCUUCACUUCGGGAUAAGCCUGGGAAACUGGGGCUAAUACCGGAUAGGAGCGCCCGUUGCUUUGUGUGGGUUGGAGAGUUUUCUGGGGUGGGAUUAGAUCGCGGGCUAUCCGUUUGUUGGGGGGGUGAUGGCCUUCCAAGACGGUGAAGGGGAGGCGGCCUGGGGGGGUGGACCGGCACAAUGGGAACGAGGUGAGGCCCCGACUGCUAAGGGAGGCAGCAGUGGGGAAUAUUGCAAAAUGGGGGAAACCCUGAUGGAGGGAAGCCGCGUGGCGGAUGAAGGCCUUCGGGUUGGAAAACCCUUUUGCCAGGGACGAAGCCUUUUGUGACGGUACCUGGUGAAGAAGCACCGGCUAACUACGUG